CGCGUAGGCGGGUAAGUAAGUCAGAUGUGAAAUUCCGGGACUCAAUUCCGGAGCUGCAUUUGAAACUACUUGUCUUGAGGAUUGGCGGAGAGAACGGAAUUCCACGUGUAGCGGUGAAAUGCGUAGAUAUGUGGAAGAACACCGGUGGCGAAAGCGGUUCUCUAGCUAAUAACUGACGCUGAGGCGCGAGAGCAAGGGGAUCAAACA
rnacentral:rRNA from 1 species